UACGUAGGGUGCAAGCGUUAAUCGGAAUUACUGGGCGUAAAGCGUGCGCAGGCGGUUUUGUAAGUCUGACGUGAAAUCCCCGGGCUCAACCUGGGAAUUGCGUUGGAGACUGCAAGGCUGGAGUCUGGCAGAGGGGGGUAGAAUUCCACGUGUAGCAGUGAAAUGCGUAGAGAUGUGGAGGAACACCGAUGGCGAAGGCAGCCCCCUGGGACAACACUGACGCUGAAGCACGAAAGCGUGGGGAGCAAACAGG
rnacentral:rRNA from 1 species